rnacentral:ncRNA from 1 species
AAUGGAACAAUGUAUGCAAGGGAAGUUGGCAAAAUGGAUCCGUAACCUUGGGAAAAGGAUUGGCUCUAAGGGCUGGGCAUAGGGGUCCUAGUACCGAACACAUCGGUUGCUGGUGUAUUGCUCGAGCUGUUCUCAUGGUGAGAGUAGGUUUCCACGUGCCAGCUAGAGGAUGGACUAGGAAUGACUCCCUUUGAGGCCUUUCUCAGGUAAUAAACAGUCGAUUUAGAACUAAUACGGACAAGGCAAAUCUGAUAGGUUAAUUAAAACAAUGUAUUGUGAUGGUCCCUACGAAUGCUCAGGCAAUAUGAUUUCUGCCCAGUGUUCUGAAUGGAUUAACAAGAUUCCCACUUUUCUUGUUUACUACCCAGUGAAACUAAAGGCAAGGGAACGGGCUUGGCAGAAUCAGUGGGGAAAGAAGACCCUAUUGAGCUUGACCCUAGUCAGACUUUGUGAAAUGACUUGAUAGGUUUAGGAUAAGUGGGAGCUAUUGGGUGAAAUUGAAAUACCACUAGUUUUAACUUUAUUUUAGUUAUUUUGUGAAUCGAAGGUGGGGCCCAACCCUUCUUUUUGGACAUAAGGCCGGCUUCGACCGGUCGAUCUGGGUAGAAGACAUUGUUAUGUAGAGAGUUUAGUUGAGACAACAAAUAUUCUAAAAUAUAACGUAGGUGUCCAGUGAUGAGCUCAAUGAGAACAAAAAUAUCGUGUGGAAUAAAAGGGUAAAAGCUCAUUUGAUUUUGAUUUUCAGUAUUAAUACGAACCUUCAACGCAUGGCUUAUUGAUACUUUAGACAUUCAGAAUUUGAAGGUAGAGGUGUCAGAAAAGUGACCACAGGUAUAACUGGCUUGUCCCAGCCAAUCGUUCAUAGCGACGUUGCUUUUUGAUCAUUCGAUGUCAACUCUUCCUAUCAUUGUGAAGCAGAAUUCACCAAGUGUUGGAUUGUUCACCCACUAAUAGGGAAUGUGAGCUGGGUUUAGAUCAUCAUGAGACAGGUUAGAUUUACCCUACUGAUGAUCGCGUCGCGUUGCAUCGCAAUAGUAAUUCAACCUAGUAUGAGAGGAACUGUUGAUUUGCACAAUUAGUCAUUGCGCUUGGUUGAAAAGCCAGUGGCACGAAGCUACCCUGUAUUGAAUUAUCAUUGAACGCCUCUAAGUUAAAAUCUAGGCUAGAAGCGACGCACGCACUCAUCGCCAUAUUGCUGACCCGCAAUAGGGCCUUCGGUCCCCAAAGGCACCUGUUGUAGGUGCAUGACUAUAGAGCUAUAGUUGCAGACGCCUUUGUAACAGGCCAAUUUUGGGGCUAGUUAGAAAAGUGGUUUCAAAACCAGUAACCCAAGGUCGAAGAAAUUAUUU